CCUUCGGGUAUUGAGGAUGGCGGACGGGUGAGUAACGCGUAAGGAACUUGCCUCUUGGUCUGGGACAACUGUUGGAAACGACAGCUAAUACCAGAUAUUAUGAGAUUCUCGCAUGAGAAACUUAUGAAAGCUAUAUGCGCCAAGAGAGAGCCUUGCGUUCCAUUAGCUAGUUGGUGGGGUAACGGCCCACCAAGGCGACGAUGGAUAGCCGGCCUGAGAGGGUGAACGGCCACAAGGGGACUGAGACACGGCCCUUACUCCUACGGGAGGCAGCAGUGGGGAAUAUUGGACAAUGGGCCACAAGCCUGAUCCAGCAAUUCUGUGUGCACGAUGAAGGUCUUCGGAUUGUAAAGUGCUUUCAGUUGGGAAGAAGAAAGUGACGGUACCAACAGAAGAAGCGACGGCUAAAUACGUGCCAGCAGCCGCGGUAAUACGUAUGUCGCAAGCGUUAUCCGGAUUUAUUGGGCGUAAAGCGCGUCUAGGCGGAAAAAUAAGUCUGAUGUUAAAAUGCGGGGCUCAACUCCGUAUUGCGUUGGAAACUGUUUUUCUAGAGUACUGGAGAGGUGGGCGGAACUACAAGUGUAGAGGUGAAAUUCGUAGAUAUUUGUAGGAAUGCCGAUGGAGAAGUCAGCUCACUGGACAGAUACUGACGCUAAAGCGCGAAAGCGUGGGGAGCAAACAGGA
rnacentral:rRNA from 1 species